UAUGACUGAUAAACCUUGAACGUCUGCGUCUAGCACGAGGCAAUAUCAGGAUCGGACAUCCGCUUUCCUUCGUAUAAAUAGGCGCCGCAAGGAAUGUUUUCUCAGUACCCUGCGACCAGACAACUGCACGUAUUUCUACUUCACUCCGACAAAGACAGCGAUUUCGCGAUGCAGACAUUCGGAAUCAUCGUGUGCUUAGGACUUUUAGCAACAGCAUGUGCGGCCACCCUGUAAGUAUACAGGAACCCUGCUUGGUCAUCCGUUCAAAUUUUGGAUUCGUAAGUCCCCGGAAAAUGAGCAUGCACUUCAGCAAACGGAGCAAGAGAAAAAGCUCCAGGCUUCUGUCAUCCAGCUUUGGGAAUCAGUGGUCAGAUGGAUUAAAACUAACAAGGGGUUAGAGCCGGCAGAGUUGCAGCAGCGUCUCAAGAGGCUAGUGGACGAGGCUGUCAAAGAAUGCAAUGUACUGGACGUCCUAGAGGACAAAGACGACGCGGAAGACGACAGUGAUGCCGUGGUCGAGUAUGGACUCGGCAAGAAGUUGAAGAAGUGGAGGAAGAAGGCGAAGAAGGCCCUUGUCGACGCUGCGAAGGCGGUCGCUGUUAACAAGGUGGUCGGUGCCGCAGCUGGCGCUCUCGGAUGAAGAAUGUCAAGUUUGCAGAAAAAGAACCGACAUCUUUGAAAGGCAUUUCCUUAGGUCACCAAAGACUAAGGUCGUAGUGUGAUAUUACUAACCAAUGAAAAUAAUUUAUCUAUUAAAAUCUUUUUUGUUGUUGAAAGAUAAACAUGCAUCUUUUAUUUUUGCUUUCGUUCGAACAGCGUUCGACUAGGGAGAAAGUAAAGCCCAAUAUUUUGCGUACAAGACAUUAUUAUGCAUUGCAUGUAUCUCACUAUUAUGCUAGAUCUAUAUCGGGCAUAGUUUUGAAGUUGCACUGAAAGUUUAGAAAUCGCCCGUGCCAGCUAGACAAUUGAAGUCUUUCAACUAAACUAUCCUAUGGAGUGGACAUGCCCUCCACAAUAAAGCAUCGUCCGUGACUGACUAACUGAAUUCAUUACGUUGCACUGUGUUAUACGCUGGCAAAACAACGACAAGGAAGACAAGAAGGACGCGCACGGACGAAGCAUGCACUACCAACCCUCUAUAUUUGUUAAAAAGCACUUUCAUAUAAAAUGUAUGUCCCUCCUUGCCGCGCCCCUUUUUGCACUUUGUAUAUCGACGCGUUCUCUAACAAAAAUAAAGACUUAGUUGUUUGCCCUU